GUGCUCGCUUCGGCAGCACAUAUAC
rnacentral:ncRNA from 3 species